UACGUAGGGGGCAAGCGUUGUCCGGAAUCAUUGGGCGUAAAGCGCGUGUAGGCGGCCCGAUAAGUCCGCUGUGAAAGUCCAGGGCUCAACCCUGGGAUGCCGGUGGAUACUGUCGGGCUCGAGUCCGGAAGAGGAGUGUGGGAAUUCCUGGUGUAGCGGUGAAAUGCGCAGAUAUCAGGAGGAACACCAAUGGCGAAGGCAGCACUCUGGGACGUGACUGACGCUGAGGAGCGAAAGCGUGGGGAGCGAACAGG
rnacentral:rRNA from 1 species